rnacentral:lncRNA from 1 species
AUGUGGCUUUUCAUCCUAGAUCAUAAAAGACAAUAUACCUUAUGCUUGGCCUCUCUCUUGUUUUCUUUCUCUCUUUCUUUCAGAAUGUGUGCUUUUGAAAGUAAAAAGUCUAGCUACCCUAAAGCAGCCAUUCUGAGAAACUGUAUAGGGAGUCUACAUAAGGAUAGAGAAAGAUGCCUAAGGAAGGGCUCUUCUAGAUUCUUGUUGAGUUUUCAAAUUAUCAGCUUCCAAGCAUCAUCAAUAGGUUUCAUCCCCAUGGACUGCACAACUAAAUAACAUCUUGUGUAAAAUGCAGCUUAGCUUCAUGUCAUCUGAAUGAGCCAGAAGGUCUCAAUUCCAGAAAAAUAUUGAGGUACGAUGAAAAGGUAGUGUUUCCAGUGACCUGUAAAAUCAAAUGAAAAUGUCUGGAUAAAAAUAACAUCAUUUUAAGACUCAAUUUUUUUAAAUUAAAAAAACCCAAAGUUGAUGAGAAAUAACCAGGUACCCAGAUUUUUUGUUUGUUUUUAAAUUACUUAUUUCUGGUUUCCAGCUAGGAUUUAUAAAACUAAGAAAAAGUAUCACCUUAACUCUAACUACAAGAGAAGGUUGAUAAUAAUCUACAAGUUCAUGAUUUUUCUUAAAUCCGUCAAACGACAAAGUUUGCAGGGCAAACAACUAGGCUGAAAUCUAAGUAGAGAUAGAACAUGUCACUUAAUGACAGAGUUUGGGAAAAAAAAGACAUUAAUUGCGACACAAGUGGAUAACAAAAUUCAGCUAAACUUUUUAGUGAAUUACUGAAGGCCAAGUGUAGAAUAGCAUGAGAGUAUAGAAUUCCCUGGAGUCAAAGAUACAGAGUGUUUAAUAGUGGUUUACAGAUUUUUCUCUAUGGCCCUGCACCAGCUGCUCACAAGGGUGGGAUUGGAGAAAGCUUCCUUUGAUGAGCCAACCAGGAGAAAGGAAUCAGCUCCUGCUGUGGGAGAGGCAGGAAGCAGUCAGUGUGACAGCCUUGACCUUAAGGAACAAAGUCUUUGGUGACUAAGGAGGAUCAGUUAGACCUUGUUGUCUCAGACCACCAAUGAAGACAUUACUAGUUCAAGAAGAGAAUAGAAAGAUGCUUUUAUUCCCAAGAGAGAAGAAACCAUUAUGGGCCCAACAAUUAGAAAUCUUUUUUUAA